AGCAGCCGCGGUAAUUCCAGCUCCAAUAGCGUAUAUUAAAGUUGUUGCAGUUAAAAAGCUCGUAGUUGAAUUUCGGGAUCAAGUCGUCGGUCGUGCCUCGGUACGCACUGGUGACAUUGGUUUCUCCCUUCUGAAGAACCUUGAUGUCAUUAAUUUGGUGUCUUGGGGAAUCAGGACUGUUACUUUGAAAAAUUAGAGUGUUUAAAGCAGGCUCACGCUUGAAUACAUUAGCAUGGAAUAAUGAAAUAGGACGUUUGAUUCUAUUUUGUUGGUUUCUAGGAUCGACGUAAUGAUUAAUAGGGAUAGUUGGGGGCAUUAGUAUUCAAUUGUCAGAGGUGAAAUUCUUGGAUUUAUUGAAGACUAACUACUGCGAAAGCAUUUGCCAAGGAUGUUUUCAUUAAUCAAGAACGAAAGUUAGGGGAUCGAAGACGAUCAGAUACCGUCGUAGUCUUAACCAUAAACUAUGCCGACUAGGGAUCGGAUGAUGUUAAUUUUUUAAUGACUCAUUCGGCGCCUUACG
rnacentral:rRNA from 1 species